GAUGAACGCUGGCGGCGUGCCUAAUACAUGCAAGUCGAGCGAACAGACGAGGAGCUUGCUCCUCUGACGUUAGCGGCGGACGGGUGAGUAACACGUGGAUAACCUACCUAUAAGACUGGGAUAACUUCGGGAAACCGGAGCUAAUACCGGAUAAUAUAUUGAACCGCAUGGUUCAAUAGUGAAAGACGGUUUUGCUGUCACUUAUAGAUGGAUCCGCGCCGCAUUAGCUAGUUGGUAAGGUAACGGCUUACCAAGGCAACGAUGCGUAGCCGACCUGAGAGGGUGAUCGGCCACGCUGGAACUGAGACACGGUCCAGACUCCUACGGGAGGCAGCAGUAGCGAAUCUUCCGCAAUGGGCGAAAGCUUGACGGAGCAACGCCGCGUGAGUGAUGAAGGUCUUCGGAUCGUAAAACUCUGUUAUUAGGGAAGAACAAAUGUGUAAGUAACUAUGCACGUCUUGACGGUACCUAAUCAGAAAGCCACGGCUAACUACGUG
rnacentral:rRNA from 1 species